GGGCCCGCACAAGCGGUGGAGCAUGUGGUUUAAUUCGAUGAUACGCGAGGAACCUUACCAGGGCUUAAAUGCAGAAUGACAGAUUGGGAAACCAGUCCUUCUUCGGACAUUUUGCAAGGUGCUGCAUGGUUGUCGUCAGCUCGUGCCGUGAGGUGUCAGGUUAAGUCCUAUAACGAGCGCAACCCCUAUCAUUAGUUGCCAGCGGGUAAUGCCGGGAACUCUAAUGAGACUGCCAGCGCAAGCUGCGAGGAAGGUGGGGAUGACGUCAAAUCAUCACGGCCCUUACGGGUUGGGCUACACACGUGCUACAAUGGUAGUGACAAUGGGUUAAUCCCAAAAAGCUAUCUCAGUUCGGAUUGUCGUCUGCAACUCGACGGCAUGAAGUCGGAAUCGCUAGUAAUCGCGUAA
rnacentral:rRNA from 1 species